rnacentral:other from 1 species
GAACUCCUACUGUGUACGAGAAUUGAAUUUAUGUUGACCCAACACUUUUUUCCUGGGAACCUAACUCUCCCUGUGGAAUGAUACUUAUUUGUAUAAAUAAGAACAAGAAGCAGGAAGGCGGUGCCCACCUGCUGAGAGCGGGUUAUCUUUUAAGUUCAUGAAACGGCACAGCAGGAGUUUU